UCGGAUAUGGUGUAACGGCUAACAUUGCCGCCUCUCAAGAGAUCGCGGCAGCUCGGGGUUCGAUUCCCCGUAUCCGAA